CCUACGGGUGGCUGCAGUGGGGAAUAUUGCACAAUGGGCGCAAGCCUGAUGCAGCCAUGCCGCGUGUGUGAAGAAGGCCUUCGGGUUGUAAAGCACUUUCAGCGGGGAGGAAGGCGUUAAGGUUAAUAACCUUGUCGAUUGACGUUACCCGCAGAAGAAGCACCGGCUAACUCCGUGCCAGCAGCCGCGGUAAUACGGAGGGUGCAAGCGUUAAUCGGAAUUACUGGGCGUAAAGCGCACGCAGGCGGUCUGUCAAGUCGGAUGUGAAAUCCCCGGGCUCAACCUGGGAACUGCAUUCGAAACUGGCAGGCUAGAGUCUUGUAGAGGGGGGUAGAGUUCCAGGUGUAGCGGUGAAAUGCGUAGAGAUCUGGAGGAAUACCGGUGGCGAAGGCGGCCCCCUGGACAAAGACUGACGCCCAGGUGCGAAAGCGUGGGGAGCAGACAGGAUUAGAUACCCUAGUAGUC
rnacentral:rRNA from 1 species